UGGAGUGACGCACGUGAACCCAGAUCGCCUCGUCGUAGCGAAACUACCAGUCCCGGUGUGCCGUCUGCGCCGCGGAUCUGCCCGGGCGAGUUCCCGCAGGUGCUGGGGCGCGGGUCCUGUAUCCCGCGGCAGGAGUUUCCAGGAGUAGUGCGGAGCGCUCCGAGCGGGGCGUGGAGUAGGGAGCACUUUGCCCGUCGGCCUCGGGGCCCCCCAGGUUGAUGGUCAUAUAACAUGAGCAUGCUCAGAUGAUGCAAGUGUGUAACCACAGGGAACCCAAGUUCUGGGACAGAGUAUUGGGAAUUGGCUUGGGGACUGGAUGAGAAGUGGUUGCCGCCUUGCAGGAUCCAGUCAGAUCCCGCCUCAUGACCCUCUGGCUAUAAGACCUGCUCCAAUCCACAGCUUGGGAAGACAGAUUUGAGUCCAGCUCUGUGCUUUUGUUUUGGUCACCUGACAAUAAAUGUUUCACAGUGCAGAAA